rnacentral:sRNA from 1 species
UAUACCAUUUUGUAAGGAACCCAUUCAGC